rnacentral:tRNA from 1 species
GGCCUCGUAGCUCAGUCGGCCAGAGCGUUGGCUUUUCUACAGCCUUCUCCUUGCUGGCAUGGGUUUGAAUCCCACCGAGGUCA